CCGAGUAUCAGCUGCUGUGUGGAAAUCAGGCUCCCGGUUUCAUCAUCGACAUUCACACCGGAAAACCCAUCGAUAUCGAUGAGUGCCGCGAGAUCCCGGGAAUCUGCGCGAACGGCGUCUGCAUCAACCAGAUCGGCAGUUUCCGCUGCGAGUGUCCGAUGGGCUUCAGCUACAACAACAUCCUGCUCAUCUGCGAAGAUAUCGACGAAUGCAACAGCGGCGACAAUCUGUGCCAGCGAAACGCCAACUGCAUCAACAUCCCCGGCAGCUACCGCUGCGAGUGUUCGGCCGGAUUCAAGCUGUCGCCCAGCG